GGAUAACUCCGGGAAACCGGAGCUAAUACCGGAUAGUUCCUUGAACCGCAUGGUUCAAGGAUGAAAGACGGUUUCGGCUGUCACUUACAGAUGGACCCGCGGCGCAUUAGCUAGUUGGUGAGGUAACGGCCCACCAAGGCGACGAUGCGUAGCCGACCUGAGAGGGUGAACGGCCACACUGGGACUGAGACACGGCCCAGACUCCUACGGGAGGCAGCAGUAGGGAAUCUUCCGCAAUGGACGAAAGUCUGACGGAGCAACGCCGCGUGAGUGAUGAAGGUUUUCGGAUCGUAAAGCUCUGUUGUUAGGGAAGAACAAGUGCAAGAGUAACUGCUUGCACCAUGACGGUACCUAACCAGAAAGCCACGGCUAACUACGUGCCAGCAGCCGCGGUAAUACGUAGGUGGCAAGCGUUGUCCGGAAUUAUUGGGCGUAAAGGGCUCGCAGGCGGUUUCUUAAGUCUGAUGUGAAAGCCCCCGGCUCAACCGGGGUGGGUCAUUGGAAACUGGGAAACUUGAGUGCAGAAGAGGAGAGUGGAAUUCCACGUGUAGCGGUGAAAUGCGUAGAGAUGUGGAGGAACACCAGUGGCGAAGGCGACUCUCUGGUCUGUAACUGACGCUGAGGAGCGAAAGCGUGGGGAGCGAACAGGAUUAGAUACCCUGGUAGUCCACGC
rnacentral:rRNA from 1 species